rnacentral:misc_RNA from 1 species
GAUGAAGAACGUAGCAAAAUGCGAUAAGUAGUGUGAAUUGCAGAAUUUAGUGAAUCAUCGAAUAUUUGAACGCACAUUGCGCCCCCUGGUAUUCCGGGGGGCAUGCCUGUCCGAGCGUCAUUGCUGCCCUCAAGCACGGCUUGUGUGUUGGGCCUCCGUCCUCCUCCCGGGGGACGGGCCCGAAAGGCAGCGGCGGCACCGCGUCCGGUCCUCGAGCGUAUGGGGCUUCGUCACCCGCUCUUGUAGGCCCGGCCGGCGCUUGCCGACACAUCAAUCUUUUUUCCAGGUUGACCUCGGAUCAGGUAGGGAUACCCGCUGAACUUAAGCAUAUCAAUAAGCGGAGGA